GCCUACAGCUACAGGUUGCUCUGCAGUCUGCUUCGAGUCCGACUCCGAACAUUUGAUUGUAGAGAUGCAUCAAGAUAUAUAUGACCAAGCUUCAGUACACUGUCCCUCAGCUGGAACUGGGAGUGGGGGGAGAGCGGGUACCAUGCAUUUUACCCGUGCAAAGGCACGGGGAGGAAAUACCAAGGGAAAAGAAGAAGACGUUUCCAUACACAAAAAAAGUGGUUUUCGUGGAACAAUUGGGGAGACGUUAAAUCACACCAGACACGUACGGCAAAAAGAGAUCUCUGUGGUGAGCAGGAGGAUGCAAAUGUUGAAAUGGAGAGUUUUGAUGUGGCGCUGCCAGUUCAGGAGCACGAUUAC